UACGUAGGGUGCAAGCGUUGUCCGGAAUUAUUGGGCGUAAAGAGCUCGUAGGCGGUUCGUCGCGUCGGCUGUGAAAUCCCGAGGCUCAACCUCGGGUCUGCAGUCGAUACGGGCAGGCUCGAGUUCGGUAGGGGAGACUGGAAUUCCUGGUGUAGCGGUGAAAUGCGCAGAUAUCAGGAGGAACACCGGUGGCGAAGGCGGGUCUCUGGGCCGAUACUGACGCUGAGGAGCGAAAGCGUGGGGAGCAAACAGG
rnacentral:rRNA from 1 species